rnacentral:rRNA from 1 species
GAUGAACGCUGGCGGCGUGCCUAAUACAUGCAAGUCGAGCGAACGGACGAGAAGCUUGCUUCUCUGAUGUUAGCGGCGGACGGGUGAGUAACACGUGGAUAACCUACCUAUAAGACUGGGAUAACUUCGGGAAACCGGAGCUAAUACCGUAUAAUAUUUUGAACCGCAUGGUUCAAGAGUGAAAGACGGUCUUGCUGUCACUUAUAGAUGGAUCCGCGCUGCAUUAGCUAGUUGGUAAGGUAACGGCUUACCAAGGCAACGAUGCAUAGCCGACCUGAGAGAGGGAUCGGCCACACGGGAACUGAGACAGGGUCCAGACUCCUACGGGAGGCAGCAGUAGGCAAUCUUCCGCAAAGGGCGAAAGCCUGACGGAGCAACGCCGCGUGAGUGAUGAAGGUCUUCGGAUCGUAAAACUCUGUUAUUAGGGAAGAACAUAUGUGUAAGUAACUGUGCACAUCUUGACGGUACCUAAUCAGAAAGCCACGGCUAACUACGUG